rnacentral:misc_RNA from 1 species
UUUCCGUAGGUGAACCUGCGGAAGGACCAUUACAGAAUUGUCAACAAGAGUUGUUUCGGGUCUUCAAAACGACGGCAUGUGCACGCUCUGUUUACACAUCCACUCCCACCUGUGCACUUUCUGUAGUUCUAUAGCGGGGGAGGCCCUGCCUUCCGGCUGUAGUCCUAUGUCCCUUCACACACACACUCAGUCAUAAAGUCUCGUGGCAUGUAAGCCGCAUUUAACUCAAUACAAUACAACUUUCAGCAACGGAUCUCUUGGCUCUC